GAUGAACGCUGACAGAAUGCUUAACACAUGCAAGUCUACUUGAUUCUACUUCGGUAGUUGAUGGUGGCGGACGGGUGAGUAACGCGUAAAGAAUCUGCCCUUUAGUUUGGGAUAACCUUUGGAAACGAAGGCUAAUACCGGAUAUUAUGGAGACGUCGCAUGGCGACUCCAUGAAAGCUAUAUGCGCUAGAGGAGGACUUUGCGUCCCAUUAGUUAGUUGGUGAGGUAAUGGCUCACCAAGACCGCGAUGGGUAGCCGGCCUGAGAGGGUGAUCGGCCACAAGGGAACUGAGAAACGGUCCUUACUCCUACGGGAGGCAGCAGUGGGGAAGAUUGGACAAUGGGCCACAAGCCUGAUCCAGCAAUUCUGUGUGCACGAUGAAGGUCUUCGGAUUGUAAAGUGCUUUCAGUAGGGAAGAAAAAAAUGACGGUACCUACAGAAGAAGCGACGGCUAAAUAUGUGCCAGCAGCAGCCGCGG
rnacentral:rRNA from 1 species